rnacentral:rRNA from 1 species
UGCCAGCAGCCGCGGUAAUACGUAGGGAGCAAACGUUGUCCGGAUUUAUUGGGCGUAAAGGGCUCGUAGGCGGUUCAACAAGUCGGUCGUGAAAGCCCGGGGCUCAACCCCGGGACGCCGGUCGAAACUGUUGUGACUAGAGUUCGGUAGAGGUGAGUGGAAUUCUCGGUGUAGCGGUGGAAUGCGCAGAUAUCGAGAGGAACACCCGUAGCGAAGGCGGCUCACUGGGCCGAUACUGACGCUGAGGAGCGAAAGCGUGGGGAGCAAACAGGAUUAGAUA